rnacentral:rRNA from 1 species
UACGGAGGGAGCUAGCGUUGUUCGGAAUUACUGGGCGGUAAAGCGCACGUAGGCGGCUUUGUAAGUUAGAGGUGAAAGCCCGGGGCUCAACUCCGGAACUGCCUUUAAGACUGCAUCGCUUGAAUCCAGGAGAGGUGAGUGGAAUUCCGAGUGUAGAGGUGAAAUUCGUAGAUAUUCGGAAGAACACCAGUGGCGAAGGCGGCUCACUGGACUGGUAAUUGACGCUGAGGUGCGAAAGCGGUGGGGA